rnacentral:lncRNA from 1 species
CACAGUUUACAUCCGUCAUAUGUAAAUUUCUUCAGUUUCAUGCGGAUUGAAACUUCGAAGGUCAGGAAAACCAUAUAUUAGCUAUGAAUCGCCAUGCAAAUAUGGGAUUCACAAUUUACAUACAUCUAGCCUAUGUAAAUCCUGAAGUUUCAUGCAGAGUGAAACUUCAAACCAGGCGACUGGUUGGUGUGGAGCAAAAAAAUUUGUCGGGUAUGAAUCGCCAUGCAGAAAUGGGAUUUAGAAGUUUCAUGUGGAUUGAGACUUCAAACCAGGCAACUGGUUUAUGCCGAUAAAACAUCCUUCGGGUACCACUCUCUUCUGAGAGGAAGGUUUGUUUUGUAUCCAGAAGAUUUGUCGUGUUCGUGCAACAGAACAGAUGUGUUCCAGAAUAUUUCAGAC